UGGGGAAUUUUGGACAAUGGGCGAAACGCCUGAUCCAGCAAUGCCGCGUGUGUGAAGAAGGCCUUCGGGUUGUAAAGCACUUUUUGUCCGGGAAAGAAAAUCCUUGGCUCUAAUACAGUCGGGGGAUGACGGUACCGGAAGAAUAAGCACCGGCUAACUACGUGCCAGCAGCCGCGGUAAUACGUAGGGUGCAAGCGUUAAUCGGAAUUACUGGGCGUAAAGCGUGCGCAGGCGGUUUGCUAAGACCGAUGUGAAAUCCCCGGGCUCAACCUGGGAACUGCAUUGGUGACUGGCAGGCUAGAGUAUGGCAGAGGGGGGUAGAAUUCCACGUGUAGCAGUGAAAUGCGUAGAGAUGUGGAGGAAUACCGAUGGCGAAGGCAGCCCCCUGGGCCAAUACUGACGCUCAUGCACGAAAGCG
rnacentral:rRNA from 1 species